rnacentral:rRNA from 1 species
UACGUAGGUGGCAAGCGUUGUCCGGAAUUAUUGGGCGUAAAGCGCGCGCAGGCGGUCCUUUAAGUCUGAUGUGAAAGCCCACGGCUCAACCGUGGAGGGUCAUUGGAAACUGGGGGACUUGAGUGCAGGAGAGAAGAGUGGAAUUCCACGUGUAGCGGUGAAAUGCGUAGAGAUGUGGAGGAACACCAGUGGCGAAGGCGACUCUCUGGCCUGUAACUGACGCUGAGGCGCGAAAGCGUGGGGAGCAAACAGG